rnacentral:rRNA from 1 species
ACUCCUACGGGAGGCAGCAGUGGGGAAUUUUCCGCAAUGGGCGAAAGCCUGACGGAGCAAUGCCGCGUGGAGGUGGAAGGCCUACGGGUCGUCAACUUCUUUUCUCGGAGAAGAAACAAUGACGGUAUCUGAGGAAUAAGCAUCGGCUAACUCUGUGCCAGCAGCCGCGGUAAU